GGUUAGGGAUGGUGUUAGGUACGGGGUUAGGGAUGGUGUUAGGUAGGGGGGAUAGGUACGGGGAUAGGGAUGGUGUUAGGUACGGGGUUAGGGAUGGUGUUAGGUACGGGGUUAGGGAUGGUGUUAGGUAGGGGGGAUAGGUACGGGGUUAGGGAUGGUGUUAGGUACG